rnacentral:lncRNA from 1 species
UUGUUUUGGGGCUGAACGGCUGUUAGCGAGCUUUGCCCAUGGGCGGCUGCACGUCCUCUACUAAUUAUGCUGGACUUGGCAACGUGUUGCUGCUUAGAGCAUCCGUCUCCUCCAGAUUCGGGAAGCCGUCUGAAAGGUGAUCGUUUACGUUCACGGUGGGAGCUGGAGUCACGUUGGAAUGCAUUAUACAAUAUGAGGAGACGGUUCAGCAGAGCUGGAAGGACUGUAAUAACCCCUCACUUCCGUUCUGCUAAUUCAAAGAAACCACGCGAAGUCCUGUGAGCAGCGGCUGCACAGCUCUCUGCUGUGCUCUCCUCCAAGCGAAGCGGCCCUAGUGUGCAGCACACCACAACAAGGCCAGUCAGCUACCGCAGUGAGUUAUCGUCUCUGUCAGACGCGUUCCCGGUGACUUCCCACUUUGUUUAUCUGUGGCUUUUCCUUCUGCAACACGAGAUGCGGUCCUGCCCCGACGGCAACUCCUGCAACAAAGUGCGAGAGAACGUUUCCUCUGGAUGUGACGUGAAGAUCACAGGAGGAACUGUGACAGAUAGAGGUACGUUAUGUACGCGGCAUCUGAGGGCCUUUAAUCCAUAUUAAUUCUAAACGUUCCGAUGAGAAACGCUUUAAUUUGCUUUGUGAUUUGCAUUCGAUGAAAGGACUGUGUUGAC